GUGCUUGCUUCAGCUGCAUGUAUACUAAAAUUGGAAAGAUACAGAGAAGAUUAGCAUGGCCCCUGUACAAGGAUGACAAGCAAAUUCGUUAAGUGCUCCAUAUUUUU
ensembl:snRNA U6 U6 spliceosomal RNA